UGUUUAGCUCGACAAUUUGGUAGAUCACAUUUUGUGUCCCUAUAUUUAUGGUAUAAUGUGUUGAACUGAACUCAACCUGAUUGUGUCCUCUCUACAACUUGGUUGAGAUAUGCUGUGCAUAAAAAAUCCACUAGAGGCCACUGUAUUUUUCGUUGGUAUGAGUUUUCACUCAUCCUUCUGCUAGCAAGGUUUCAACAGAAAAAUCACUCCUGACAUGUGGGCAACUUUUGGCUACAAUAUGACAGAACAUGGAAUUUUCUGGCCUUUGUACCAGAAGAUCCUCAAGACUCUGAGGCUGAUCUGAGUGAUGAUGACACAGUAGGGGAUCCUGAUUUUCUGCCCAAAUAAGUAGAGUUGAUCGGGGAUCUUUGCACUCAAUCUUCAGAUGAAGAGUUGCCCUCUAAAAGCACAUCUGCAAAGAGGAAAAAUACCCUAGAAACAUUCAAAGAAGAGGUGGAUGAGGCUCCCUUUUCAACCCCGGUGUCAAAGAAGAAGAAAACGUCAGAAAAGAAACAAAAAGAAGCCAGGAGGAUCUAGAAGCAUGUAGAUAUUGAGGAAUUCCAGGUCCCUGAUUCAUGUUUUGCAUCCCCAGAUCCUGUCAAGACACUCUUCCAGUACUUCAAAAUGCUCUUCACUGAUGGGAUGAUUCAACAUAUUGCUUUUCAAACCAACCUGUACUCUGCCCAGAAGUUGGGGGAUCCCAUCAAACACAAACCUAGUGAGAUUGAAGAUUUCCUGGGUAUGCUAUUUUUCAUGGGUAUUCUUCAAUUUCCGACCAUAGCAGACUACCGGUGCCCUGCAUCACGUUUUGACGUGAUUGCUGACAUCAUGCCAAAGAGGAGAUUCAUGCUGUUACGUGGCAUUGAUCCUUCCGACAUGCUAGUUCACCUAUACAAGACCCCAGCCAAGUCAACCCGUUGGUACUUCCCCCUGUUUGGAUACGCCCUAGAUCUCUGCAUCUUCAAUUCCUGGCUGGUCUACAAGAGAGACUGUGGCCUUCCGAAGGAAAAACCAAUUCCUCUGAAAAUGUUUCGCUUGGCUGUGUCCCACACUUUGAAACAAGUCAACAAGCCAGCAUCCAGAGUAGGCCGACCACCGUCUGCCAGUCCACCAAAUAUGUCCUGUGAGAAGAAGCGCUUGCCCCCAACAACCCCACAACCAGAUGUGCGCUACGACAACUAUGGACAUUGGCCACUUCACACUGACAAUCGGGGGCGGUGCAGCCUCUGCCCAAAAGGUGUGUCAAGAUGGAAAUGCGGGAAGUGCAAUGUUUUCUGUACUUGUUGGGUGAGAGAGAAUGUUUUGUAGCAUAUCAUCAAAAAUAAAGUGGCCAAUGUUUCCAUGGGUCAUUAUUGUGUUAAGGCAUUUUGUUUGAGAGAUGUUUAGUUUUUGAUUUUUUUCAAAGCAAGAACAUUAUUAAGUUCUUUGGGUACACUCGUGGGUCUUUCAAUGUUGAUUUGACUGUGGGAAAUGGCUAAGAAAUGCCUAAGACUCCAUGUUGUGUUUAUGCCAAAAUGGACCAAAGGUCUUUUGUUGAAAUAAAAUUUGACAUGAGUUGUUUCCUGGUAUUUCUACAUUUUAUAGUUCCUUUUUUCAUAUUUCUAGGUGUUAAAUGAUCCAUUUAUUUGUCAAUACUCAUUCACAAUUAUGUAUUAGGUAAUUUUACCAUCGAGCAACAUCUCAACCAUUUGGUAGAGACCUAUAUUUAAAAAACUGGGGAGUCCAUAUACAUUUUUCCAAUUUAUUUCUGUUACUUGUGCCACAACAACUUAAAAAAUACCCAAAAAUCAUUUUUUCAUUGUUUUUUUCUUGGAGUGAACAUCAAAGGGUUAAUGUUUGUGUCUUAUCAAAAUGUGAUGUCAAGUGAUUUGAAUUACAUUGUGUCGUGAUGGAUGACAACAGGAUACGGAUAAAUGCAAAAUUGUCACGGAAGAAUAUUUCUGAAACAAUAAAUAGUUUGCAUACUGA